rnacentral:rRNA from 1 species
AUUGAACGCUGGCGGCAGGCCUAAUACAUGCAAGUCGAACGAGUGGCGGACGGGCGAGUAAUGUAUGGGCAACUGCCUGACCGACGGGGCUAACUACUGGAAACCGUAGCUAAUACUGCUUACCACCCGUUGUGCCCUCGUGGGAUUAGCUUGUUGCUGGGGUAACGGCUCACCAAGGCGUCGCUCCCUAGCGGGUCUGAGAGGAUGACCAGCCACACUGGAACUGAGACACGGUCCAGACUCCUACGGGAGGCAGCAGUGGGGAAUAUUGCACAAUGGGCGCAAGCCUGAUGCAGCCAUGCCGCGUGGAUGAAGAAGGCCUUCGGGUUGUAAAGUACUUUCAGCGGGGAGGCGUUACCCGCAGAGGAAGCACCGGCUAACUCCGUGCCAGCAGCCGCGGUAAUAC